rnacentral:rRNA from 1 species
CUUUAGAAAAAAAACCCCGGCUUAACUACUUUCCACCAACCCCGGUAAUACGUAAGGGGCCAAGCGUUUUUCCGAAAUUAUGGGGGGUAAAAGGUCGCAAGGGGGGUUUUUAAAUCAGAAGGGAAAAGCCUCCGGCUCACCCGUGGUGAGCUUUUGAAAAUUGGAGGACUUGAGGGCAGGAGAGGGGAGUGGAAUUCCUAUUGUAGCGGUGAAAUGCGUAGAUAUUUGGAGGAACUCCAGUAGCGAAGGGGGCUUUCUGGGCUGUAACUGACCCUGAGGCGCGAAAACGUGGGGAGCAAACAGGAUUAGAUACCCUGGUAGUSCCCCCCGUAAACGAUGAGUAGUAAGUGUCGGGGGUUUUUCCCCCCGUUGUGCCACCCUCACACUCAAUACUCCCCCUGGGAAGUGCGCUCGCAAGAGUGAAAUCAAAAAAAAUUUCGGGGGGGCGCACAAAUAGCGGGGCAUAUGUGUUAAUACGAAGCAACACGAAAAACCUUUCCUAAGCUUGUCAUCCCCCUURCCUCUUCCUAAUCGAGGAUUUCCCUUUGGGGACAGUGGUGACAGGUGGUGCAUGGUUGUCGUCAGCUCGUGUCGUGGGAUGUUGGGUUAAGUCCCGCAACGAGCGCAACCCUUACUUUUAGUUGCCAGCAUUAAGUUGGGCACUCUAGAGGGACUGCCGAGGAUAACUCGGAGGAAGGUGGGGAUGACGUCAAAUCAUCAUGCCCCUUAUGCUUAGGGCUUCACCCGUGCUUCAAUGGGUGGUUCAAAGGGUUGCCAAGCCGCGAGGGGGAGCUAAUCCCUUAAAACCAUUUUCAAUUCGGAUUGUAGGCUGGAACUCGCCUUCAAGAAGCGGAAUUUCUAGUAAUCGCAGAUCAGAAUUCUGCGGGGAAUCGUUCCCGGGUCUUGUCCCCCCCCCCGUCACGCCAGGAAAGUGGGGRCCCCGGAAGCGGGUAAGGUACCUUUUAAGGAGCCGAGCCGGC